rnacentral:pre_miRNA from 1 species
CUCGGGGGCGGGGGUCCCUCAGCCUGGAUGGCGAGAAGGCACAGGCCAGGUUGAGGGACCCCACUGGUGUAGG